rnacentral:rRNA from 1 species
UACGUAGGUGGCAAGCGUUGUCCGGAUUUACUGGGCGUAAAGAGCGCGCAGGCGGCUGAUUAAGUCGAAUGUGAAAGCCCCCGGCUCAACUGGGGAGGGUCACGCGAUACUGAUCGACUCGAAGGCAGGAGAGGGUAGUGGAAUUCCCGGUGUAGUGGUGAAAUGCGUAGAUAUCGGGAGGAACACCAGUGGCGAAGGCGACUACCUGGCCUGUUCUUGACGCUGAGGCGCGAAAGCUAGGGGAGCAAACGGG